GCCGAGCGGAUGAUGCUCUGCAGCCUGCGCUUGUCUUUGGCUGUGGCUGCAGGGUGCCAGACGGUGAUGGAGGAGCAGAUGAUGGACUCAACGAUGGCCGUGUAGAACUGUACCAUCAUCUUCCCUGGCAGGUUGAAUUUCGUCAGCCCACGUUUGAUGUCAGCUAUAAGAUAUUCUGUGAAAGGAUCGUUCCCCAAAGGCUGCUUGUCAACCAAGAGGUGCUGAGAAUGGGCCAGCUGAGGAAGGCCUUCAUUGAACUAGUGAAAGCAAAUGAAGGUCUUGAUGCUUCAAACUACAGGGGGCGCAGGACUCCCUCCACGGCCUCUCCCAGGCCUUCAGCCACCUCACCAUCCAGCCCAGCCACCUGAACAUCCUCGCAGAGCUUCCGCCCAACAUGAAAAUCCUGCUGCUUCAGCACUCUGAAGAUGGGUCAGAGCUCUACGGGGCCUUCUAUGAGGUCACCAGAGCUCCAAAACAAAAGGGGAAGACGGCGCAGGGAACAGGGAGCCUGGCGUGCACGAGGGUGGCCAAGGUUCCCGUCCGCCCGCAGGCUCUGCUGGCGCUGAGGGGCCGGACCCGGGCCUCCGAGGAACGGCGCGGUCUUCUCAAAUUUCUCGCUCUCUCCGGAGACAUCUUCUUGUUAGAAUAUAUAUAUAUACACACACACACGUAUAAUUAAAGAAGUCAUUAAUGCAGCUGAGAACACUAUUUAGAUCAGACUUAGAAACUGGAUCACCAUCAUCUUUUUUCUCACUUGUCAUCUUGGGGUUCUAGUUCUCAAAGGAAAAGAAUAAGGAUAAAACGAGUCAUGUGUUAUUGUACCAGAUGUUCACGUGUUAAUAAUAAGUUCACUAUUGACAGAAAUGCUGGAGAAGCCAGCGAGCCAAGAGAGCCAGCAGACGUGUGGCGAGCGGGGGCCGACGGAGGCCUCCAGGAUCACUGGGAAGCUGGCGGUUGAAUAACGGCCAGAAAAACCUCCUUCUUUUUGUUAUUUCCUUCUAAAAUGUUUGUGACUAGUUCAUAUACACUGGGGUGUAAUGAUGGAAUGACUUAUGUGACAAUAAAAGACUUGUAACUUGUAAAUUGGUAACACGCA